rnacentral:tRNA from 1 species
GCAUCGGUGGGCUAGUGGUAGAAUGCUCGUCUCCCAAGCGGGCGGCCCGGGCUCGAUUCCGGCCGAUGCA